rnacentral:lncRNA from 1 species
GCCGGCUCAACACUCUUAGGGGCCCUAGGGCAAGAAAUUUUUUUUUUUACCCUCUAAAAUUUAUAUAAAGAUAAUGUUUAAAAUAUUUUUUAAAUUUAAUCAGUAAUAUUUUGUAAUGAAAAUAAAACCAUAUACAUAUCAAAUAAUUUUGGGCCCUUUCAACUUUAUUUAUUAUAUUUAUAAUUUUUUUAUAUAUAAAAAUAUGAAUUUAUAAAAAAUUGAGCCCCUUAAUUAAUAUUAUACGGGGGGACACGGGCUUGGGCCCGGGACGGUCGCACCGCUUGUCCCCCCAAUGAGCCGGC